GAAUCUAUAAGGGCGGUUCGCGCUGUACCAAAUAGAAUCAAACUCUGAAUUCCAGCUGUUUUACCUUGGCAGUGAGACUAUUUGGGAUAAGCUUUAUAGUCGUGAGGGAAAGAGCCCAGACCAACAAAUAAGGUCCCUAAAUUAAGCUAAGUGGAAAAGGAAGUCAAAAUUCAUAAACAACUAGGAUGUUGGCUUAGAAGCAGCCAUCAUUUAAAGAGUGCGUAACAGCUCACUAGUCUAGUUUUUUGGCGCCGCAAGUACAACGGGGCUAAGCUUAAUACCGAAUUUUUGGAUUUGUGAACUAGAAGUUCAUUAAUGGUAGACAAAUGUUGUAUAGAGAUUGAAGCUUGAGCGUGAGCACAGGUGGACCCUAUACAAGUAAGAAUUCCGGCGUGAGUAACGAAUGAAAGUGAGAAUCUUUCUAGCCGAUUGAUCAAGGUUUCUGGGGCUAGGUUCGUCCUCCUCAGGUUAGUCGAUCCUAAGGUGAGGCCGAAAGGCGUAGCUAAUGGACAAUGGGUUAAUAUUCCCAUACUACCUUGAAUGUUCGAUGGGUUGACAGAACAGGUUAAACUGGGAGGGUUAUUGGAUUCCCUUUUAAGAUUUCGAGCAUGUUGGGCAUGAAAAUCAGCUCAACAUAAGUGUGAGAAUCGAAUACAAUCUUGGCCAGCAAUGGUCGAGAGAGCCGGACUUAAUCAUAUUCUCCAGAAAAGACUCUAAGAGCUUAAGACAUUCAGGGUACUCGUACCGAUAACGAACACACGUGAUCAAGGAGAAUAUCCUAAGGCUAGCGAGCUAACUACAGUUAAGGAACUCUGCAAAAUAACUCUGUAACUUCGGGAGAAAGAGUGCCCGCAUGGAAUGCGGGUCACAGUAAAGAAUGAGGGCGGACUGUUUAACAAAAACACAGCUAUAUGCAAAAUUCAAACAUGAAGUAUAUGUGGCGACACCUGCCCGGUGCCAGAAGGUCAAAGAAGGGGGUCAGGCUAGUUUACUAGUUGAAGCUCUUAACUUAAGCCCUGGUGAACGGCGGCCGUAACUAUAACGGUCCUAAGGUAGCGAAAUUCCU
rnacentral:rRNA from 1 species